rnacentral:rRNA from 1 species
UCUCCUGGAAACGGGUGGUAAUGCCGGAUGCUCCGACUCCUCGCAUGGGGUGUCGGGAAAGAUUUCAUCGGUAUGGGAUGGGGUCGCGUCCUAUCAGGUAGUCGGCGGGGUAACGGCCCACCGAGCCUACGACGGGUAGCCGGCCUGAGAGGGCGACCGGCCACAUUGGGACUGAGAUACGGCCCAGACUCCUACGGGAGGCAGCAGUGGGGAAUAUUGCACAAUGGGCGCAAGCCUGAUGCAGCGACGCCGCGUGCGGGAUGACGGCCUUCGGGUUGUAAACCGCUUUUGAUCGGGAGCAAGCCUUCGGGUGAGUGUACCUUUCGAAUAAGCACCGGCUAACUACGUGCCAGCAGCCGCGGUAAUACGUAGGGUGCAAGCGUUAUCCGGAAUUAUUGGGCGUAAAGGGCUCGUAGGCGGUUCGUCGCGUCCGGUGUGAAAGUCCAUCGCUUAACGGUGGAUCUGCGCCGGGUACGGGCGGGCUGGAGUGCGGUAGGGGAGA